AUUGAACGCUGGCGGCAUGCCUUACACAUGCAAGUCGAACGGUAACAGGUCUUCGGAUGCUGACGAGUGGCGAACGGGUGAGUAAUACAUCGGAACGUGCCCGAUCGUGGGGGAUAACGAGGCGAAAGCUUUGCUAAUACCGCAUACGAUCUACGGAUGAAAGCGGGGGAUCUUCGGACCUCGCGCGGCCGGAGCGGCCGGUGGCAGAUUAGGUAGUUGGUGGGAUAAAAGCUUACCAAGCCGACGAUCUGUAGCUGGUCUGAGAGGAUGAUGAGCCACACUGGGACUGAGACACGGCCCAGACGCCUACGGGAGGCAGCAGUGGGGAAUUUUGGACAAUGGGCGAAAGCCUGAUCCAGCCAUGCCGCGUGCAGGAUGAAGGCCUUCGGGUUGUAAACUGCUUUUGUACGGAACGAAAAGCCUCUUUCUAAUAAAGAGGGGUCAUGACGGUACCGUAAGAAUAAGCACCGGCUAACUACGUG
rnacentral:rRNA from 1 species